rnacentral:lncRNA from 1 species
GAUCCUUCAAUUUAAGAUCGGAGUUAUUGAUCUUUAUUUAGGUAGUGAAUAGAAUUUUUUAUCAAAAAUUCAACCUAUUCCGAUUCUUUUUUACCGUUAAACUAGCAAAUAUCUCAUAUCAGCCGUUAAAAAUUAUCAAUUUUGUGAUCUUUUGAUCGUAAAAUAAUGAUAUUGAAAAAUUAUAAAAUUUGAUUUCUAGAAGUUUUAAAUGCUCUGGGUAAUUUUUAACGGUAUGGGUUGUCGAUUCGGAAGCUCUAUUAUCGAAAACAACUUAUAAGUAUGAAGGCGAUCGUACUUAUAAGAGUAUAGUAGCCGGACUAUAUAUAUAUAUAUAUAUAUAUAUAUAUAUUCAAAUUCUAUUUAAACUUAAAUUUAAUAAAAAAAAAUUAUUAUAAUAUUUAAGUAGAAAUAAUAUGUAUUAAUGGAGUAAAAUUAAUAAUUUUUAU